ACGCUCGACACCUACAGGAGGCAGCAGUGGGGAAUAUUGCACAAUGGGGGAAACCCUGAUGCAGCAACGCCGCGUGAAGGAAGACGGUUUUCGGAUUGUAAACUUCUGUUCUUAGUGAAGAUAGUGACGGUAGCUAAGGAGCAAGCCACGGCUAACUACGUGCCAGUAGCCGCGGUAAUCUGAGCGGGCUGGCAAGGC
rnacentral:rRNA from 1 species